AUUGAACGCUGGCGGCAGGCCUAACACAUGCAAGUCGAACGAGUGGCGGACGGGUUAGUCAUGUCUGGGAAACUGCCUGAUUGCGGGGGAUAACUACUGGAAACGGUAGCUAAUCACGUAUACCAUCAGAUGUGCCCAGAUCGGAUUAGCUUGUUGGUGGUGUAACGGCUUCCCAAGGGGACGAUCCCUAGCUGGUCUGAGAGGAUGACCAGCCACACUGGAACUGGGACACGGUCCAGAUUCCUACGGGAGGCAGCGGUGGUGAAUAUUGGAUAAUGGACGCAAGCCUGAGGCAUCCAUGCCGCGGGUAUGAAGAAGGCCUUCGGGUUGUAAAGUACUUUCAGCGAGGAGGCCUUACCCGCAGGAGAAGCACCGGCUAACUCCGUGCCAGCAGCCGCGGUAAUUC
rnacentral:rRNA from 1 species